rnacentral:rRNA from 1 species
AGGACUAACGCUGGCGGCGUGCCUAACACAUGCAAGUCGAGCGGGGUAGCAAUACCCAGCGGCAGACGGGUGAGUAACACGUAGUCAACCUUCCGUUGCGUGGGGGAUAACUAGCCGAAAGGUUAGCUAAUACCGCAUACGAUCUUCAAUCGGCAUCUUUUGAAGAUGAAAGGAGCAAUUCGCGCAACGACGGGACUGCGUCCCAUUAGCUAGAUGGUGGGGUAACGGCCUACCAUGGCGACGAUGGGUAGCUGGUUUGAGAGAGCGACCAGCCACACUGGGACUGAGACACGGUCCAGACACCUACGGGUGGCAGCAGUCGAGAAUUUUUUCUCAAUGGGCGAAAGCCUGAAGGAGCGACGCCGCGUGGGGGAUGAAUGGCUUCGGCCCGUAAACCCCUGUCAUUUGUGAACAAUUGUUUCAUAUAAUACCUGAAAUAUUGAUAGUAACGGAAGAGGAAGGGACGGCUAACUCUAGUGCCAGCAGGCCGC